UUACGGCCACAUCACGUUAAAACACCGAUUCCCGUACGAUCACCGAUUACCAAGUUAAGCACCGUCGAGCCUGGUCAGUAACUAGAUGGGUGACCGCUUGGAAAUAUCA